AGUGCAAUUGCUGGGUCAUAGGCUUCACAUUUCAUUUUACAAGAAACUACCAAACUGUCUUCCAGAGUGGCUGGACCAUUUUACAUUCCCACCAGUGGU
rnacentral:pre_miRNA from 1 species